UAAGUAUAGGUUCCACCUAGAGACGCAGAACUAGCCAGCGGCCGAUCCUGCUCCGGGACCCUGCAGGCCCCAGCUCUAUGGAAUCCUGUCGCACACGGGAUGGACGUGGGCUAGAGGCGGAGGAAGGGGAGGAAGUGAAGAUCUUCAGACUAAGAUGGAUGAAGCUGAAUUCAGAUCUCAGCUCCAACCUGGGCUCUCCUGAAGGGAUUCUGCUGAUAAUCAAGAAGGAGAAGCAGAAAUGAGAAGGUUGGAGAAAUCCGAAGAGGCAGCUAGGGAGAGUGGGAGUUCUGGGGGCUGAGAAGUCCAAGAUCAAGGUGCUGCCAAUUUGGUUCCUGGUGAAUGAGCAAACAGCACAGAAAAAGAAACAGCAGUAUAUGUGGAAGAAAGCAAGAAAAAUCAACUGGCCUGGAACCUAAGACUUGUCCAAAGAUGUCACAGAGAGUAAAAUGAGAAAAAUCCA
rnacentral:lncRNA from 10 species